rnacentral:rRNA from 1 species
UACGGGGGGGGCAAGCGUUGUUCGGAAUUACUGGGCGUAAAGGGCUUGUAGGCGGCCAACUAAGUCCGACGUGAAAUCCCCAGGCUUAACCUGGGAACUGCGUCGGAUACUGGAUGGCUUGAAUUCGGGAGAGGGAUGCAGAAUUCCAGGUGUAGCGGUGAAAUGCGUAGAUAUCCGGAGGAACAUCGGUGGCGAAGGCGGCAUCCUGGACCGGUAUUGACGCUGAGGCGCGAAAGCCAGGGGAGCAAACGGG